rnacentral:rRNA from 1 species
GCGUCCGAGUUGUAAUCUAUAGAGUCGUUUUCCGUGCCGGACUGUGUCCAAGUCCCUUGGAACAGGGUAUCAAAGAGGGUGAUAAUCCCGUACUUGACACAAUGACCGGUGCUCUGUGAUACGUCUUCUACGAGUCGAGUUGUUUGGGAAUGCAGCUCAAAAUGGGUGGUGAGUUCCAUCUAAAGCUAAAUAUUGGCGAGAGACCGAUAGCGAACAAGUACCGUGAGGGAAAGAUGAAAAGCACUUUGGAAAGAGAGUUAAACAGUACGUGAAAUUGUUAAAAGGGAAACGAUUGAAGUCAGUCGUGACUGAGAGGCUCAGCCGGUUCUGCCGGUGUAUUCCCCUCAGUCGGGUCAACAUCAGUUUUGUUCGGUGGAUAAGGGCAGUUGGAAGGUGGCACCCUCGGGUGUGUUAUAGCCAGCUGUCGCAUACAUCGGAUGAGACUGAGGAAUGCAGCUCGCCUUUAUGGCCGGGGUUCGCCCACGUUCGAGCUUAGGAUGUUGACAUAAUGGCUUUAAACGACCCGUCUUGA